GAUAGAGCUGGGAGUUAACAUUCAUUUAUGAUUUCCUUAGGGAUAAAGUAGGUUCAAUUAUCAGCAGGAAAGGUAGCUGUCUCUGGAAAAGCUAAGGAUGAUGACUUCUACAUUUCCUCAUUUAAUAUGCAUCAAAAAGUGGACACUGACCUUCAGCUUUGUGAAAUUCAAGACCUCUGAAGUAAAACUUGAAAUAACUUCGGAGAAGUGUCCUGAUCACAGUGCUACUCUCUGCAGUUGGCCAAUCUCCAUUCAUCCCUUUACUUGAAUAUUGCAUUGGAAUGCUGAGAUUAAAUCAAGAUAUCUUUGGGUUCA